UACGUAGGGCGCAAGCGUUGUCCGGAAUUAUUGGGCGUAAAGAGCUCGUAGGCGGUUUGUUGCGUCGGCCGUGAAAACUUGGGGCUUAACCCCGAGCCUGCGGUCGAUACGGGCAGACUUGAGUUCGGCAGGGGAGACUGGAAUUCCUGGUGUAGCGGUGAAAUGCGCAGAUAUCAGGAGGAACACCGGUGGCGAAGGCGGGUCUCUGGGCCGAUAUUGACGCUGAGGAGCGAAAGCGUGGGGAGCGAACAGG
rnacentral:rRNA from 1 species